GUUCACAUUGUGGAAUGCAAUAAACGUAUUGAGUAUUAAAUAAUAUAGUUAUGAAUCUGUCUCACGAAACUUGUUAAAACAAAUAAUAUAUUUUUGCAUAUAUUUUGAUAUUGAGUCACGAGUAAACCAGUUAUCAUUCUUAUUCUUAAUGGAAACCUAAAAACCAGUUUCGUACAUAACUUGUGACCUCUUGCAAGUUAAAAAGCGAGGACCAAAAACAGACACAACUGAAUAAGAUUUGUGAAUUGAUACUUGUGGCAUCAUGAGGUUUUAUUUGUUAUUUAUUUUAAUUAAUAUAUUUAUUGUUUAUAGUGCAAUAAGUACGGAAAUGAAUACCGAUCAUGAAGAUCCUUGGAAAGACAAACUUGGCAUUUCGAGCAAGAAAAUGGUUAAAAUCUACAACAGAUUCGGCGGUGCACAUUAAUGAAACAAGCUGUCUUCUUGCCUCAGCUCAGACUGCACUCCAGACCCUAGACCCUCAGACCCCCGGGAUCAUCAAACAUGAUCAAAGAACAAUUCAAUUCUUAUUACAUGGUUCACCAUAAAAUGAAAAUCAAAAGUUUUUUUCAAGUAGGCCGUUUUCCAGGCACUUUCAAAACUUUAAGGUGAUGGCUCUAGCUGCGCGGUUCUAAAGUAUCGCUCUUAUGGAGAAGAACCAGCAAGAACUUCAUAAUCAUCAUCAUCAGUCCAUAUUCUUCCACUGCAGGACAUAGGCCUCCCCAAUUGCACGCCGCAUCGAGAUCCUAUCUUCGACUGCUCGUAUAAUCUUUGUACAUUUUUUUUGGUAACCCUGCUCAACCCUUUGCCUGUCAAGGACGUUAAUUAACUCCUUCGUCUUUGCCUGAGUUUGUCUGCUUCUUUUAGCCUUGACGAAAGCGGCAAAUAGCAUAUGGAAAUUCAUGUUAAGUAUUCUAUUUGAUUUAAUUCCACAGUGAAGUUUAGAUUCAGAAAAUUAUUGCUGUUUAUCUAAAAUAUAUUAAUAUAAUCGCUGUCUGGGUUUUUGAAAAAAAAAAAACAUGUUUUGAAUCAUCUUUUUCGUUUCUUAAUUUUAUAUAUGUGUUAACAACAAUAAACUAAACUGGUUCUACUGGCAUCUAUUUAAAA